UAACGAGCACUGGCUAACAGCUCUUGGCGAAGCGUAAGGCAAAACCUGGAGGCGCGAAUAGGAGGUGAGCGCCAGCCCCAACUGGGACAGGACGUCGAAUUUGGGGCGGUCCGGUUUUGUCUUUAAGCUUUGCUUAGAGAUGUCCAGUGUGAGUUC
rfam:Clostridia bacterium 41_269 MPF_scaffold_11, whole genome shotgun sequence.